GAAAAUAUAAAAUGAACAAAAGUCAGCAAUUUCACAUAACCUAUUAUUUAGUAAGGAAACCAGAUGUUACGAUGACUUUGGAGAAAAUGUGAGAUAUUAUAUAUAUAUGUAGGGAAAUUAAGAAAGAUAUGGGAAAGUAAAAUUGCUGCAUCAGACUUAUACAUAUAUAUGUGAAAGUCGCUCAGUUGUGUCCGACUCUUUGUGACCCCGUGGACUUUAUACAGUCUAUGGAAUUCUCCAGGCCAGAAUACUGGUGUGGGUAGCCGUUCCCUCCUUCAAGGAUUCUUCCCAACCCAGGGAUAGAGCCCAGGUCUCCCACAUUGUAGGCAUAUCCCACACAUGCUUUGUCGCUCAGUCUUGGGACCCCAUGGACUAUAGCCUGCCAGGCGCCUCUGUCCAUGGGGCUUCUCCAGGCAAGAGUACUGGAGUGGGUUGCCAUGUCCUCCUCCAAAGGAUCUUCCCAACCCAGGGAUCAAACCCAGGUCUCCCUCAUUACAGGUAAAUUCUUUACCAUCUGAGCCACCAAGGAAGCCUGCAUCUGAUUUAAAAACUGGCUAAUAUCCAACAGGUCAAAAAUCUUUGGGUUUAUUUGCUCCACUGGGCAAAAAUUAUUUGUAUAUCUAAUGGACAAAAUUUUACAAAUUAACAGCAAUUUUACUAAAUCUAGGUGCUUCAAUUAAUAAUAAAAAAUGAGACAAGUAAUCAGGUUUCUCUAGACCUGUACCGUGCAAUAAAGUAGCCACUAACUCUUUAAUUUUUUUUUUUUUUUUUGCUUUGUGUGCAUGCUCAGUUGCAUCUGACUCUUUGUGACCCCAUGAACUAUAGCCCAUGAGGCUCCUCUGUCCAUGGGAUUAGCCAGUACUCGUGCCUGGGAAAUUCCGUGGAUAGAGGAGCCUGGUGGGCUGCAGUCCAUGGGAAAGCAAAGAGCUGGACAAGACUGAGAGACUGUCAUGCCAAAAUAGGAGAAUUAUAUGAUACAUUAUAUAUUUUGGUAGCAAUGCACUUUAGAGCAAUGCACACAGUGAUACCUACCAAAAUAUGUACCAUUCAAAUUAGUAAAUUUGAUUUAGUUAGGAAACCAUAAGAGCUGAGAUGUUGCGAAUGUUUCUGAUAAACAAGAGGAGGGUCAAAACAGAAAGAGAACAGCCAUAGUAUCUAGGGAAAAUUUUGCCUUUUGCUUCACAUAGCAUUUUAUUUUUCCAUGCUUAAUUAUGAUAAACUGGAAAUACACAUAUUUCCAUGAAAGUAACUUCUAUGUUAAAUAGAACCUAGGUUUAACAUGAAUGCUCAGUAGUGCAGAAGGAAAAUAAACAUUAUCAAACUAGGAUACUAUUUUAAAAUUGUGAGAAUUACUUAUGUAACAGAGAACUGCUUUAUCUUGGAUUUCUCAUUAACAAAAUGAAAGCAUUAGUUCCCUGAAUUUCAUUAUUGUAAAGUUGCAAAUGUAAAUUUAAUUUAUCAGACAAAUAGCUAUUAGGUGCCUAUUGUACAAACAAGAUGGAAACAGUAUCUGCCCAUAUAGAGGGUGCAGACUGGUAAUGGAGGCAGAAAAUAAACACAGUAACAAUUAAUUGCAAACACUGUAAGUUUUGUGAAGAAGUAUCAUGAGAGCAUAUGAGGGGAAACUCUUUUCUAGUCUGUUGGGAUUGGAGCUGGGUAUGUAUCUGAAGGGAUGCAGUCAAGAAAGUCAUCUUUAAGAAACUAAUAUGUAAAUCAGGAUGUAGAGGAUAAGGAGGGAUUUUCUAGGUAAAGCAGAGUCGUGGAGGAUUGAAAAUGUCUUAAAGGAAACGUCAUAUAGAAGGUCACUGACCAAAGAGGUAACAUGAACAUUUGAGAUUUCAAAUGGGUGAAGAUGUGAUGACUUGAACUGUUUUUCCAAUGUUAUAUUUCCCUUUUUGGCCUAAAGAAAGAGUACAGAUUGGCACAGAUUACCUUUUUAUAUCAAAUUGCAACAAGGAAAUACCUAAGUAGAUAAAAUCCUUGUGACCUACUUCUCAUUCAAAAUUGCCAAAAAUGUUUCCCUCUGUGAAAAAAAGCUGCCUAUAGAGUAGUCACCUUGACCUUCCACUAAGGUCCAAAAUGGAAGAGGUCAGUUUCUAAUCACGUGUUAAUGUACUGGUUCACUGUUGACUCUCUGGGCUGUUUAUGCAAACAGAAUUUCUUAUAAAUAAAAGUGAAGCCUUGGAUAGGCUUAUUGAAUUUGGGCAUAACUGCAGGUCUUGAGGUAAUCGGAGAAAAAGAGUUACUCUCAUUGCCUAGGACAAUAACUAAAUGGCAACCCACUUCAGUAGUCUUGCUGGGGAAAUCCCAUGGACAGAGAAGCCUGGUGGGCUACAGUCCAUGGGGUUGCAUAGAGUCCAUCAUGACUGAGCAAACACCCAAUGUCUGAAUAAUUCAACCUUUAUUUAUAGUAUCAAUUACAGAUCAUCCACAUUCAGAUACAUAGAUGGCAUUAUAUUUGAUUACAGAAUUUUAGAUUAGAUAAUGAAUGGAUGGAUCAAAAUUUUCUUUUGAACUUUAUCUGGAAUAUUAUCUUGGCAUCAUCUUUCUCCCUGCC
ensembl:lncRNA